rnacentral:lncRNA from 1 species
GGAGGCAUGAAACUUAAUUGAUUUAGCAAUGUGGGAUUAAUGAUUAAGGAUGGAAACAAAGAUUGGGGGCUAAGAUUUUUGUAAAUGGAUUUAUAAGGGCUCAUAAACAAUGAAGGGUUGAGAUUUAUUUUGGAGAGAAAGGGGAGUGAGGAUUGGGUGUUAAGAUUUAUGCAUGAAAGAGAAAAAGGGCACACUAGUUAUUUGGCUAUGGGUUUGCGCAUGAAAGAAUAAGGUGUGAAGAAGUCGGUGGGAAAAAAAAAGGUGUUAGUUGGUUUUAGCAUGA